rnacentral:rRNA from 1 species
UACACUCCUACGGGAGGCAGCAGUGGGGAAUUUUGGACAAUGGGCGAAAGCCUGAUCCAGCAAUGCCGCGUGAGUGAAGAAGGCCUUCGGGUUGUAAAGCUCUUUUGUCAGGGAAGAAACGGUGAGAGCUAAUAUCUCUUGCUAAUGACGGUACCUGAAGAAUAAGCACCGGCUAACUACGUGCCAGCAGCCGCGGUAAUACGUAGGGUGCAAGCGUUAAUCGGAAUUACUGGGCGUAAAGCGUGCGCAGGCGGUUUUGUAAGUCUGAUGUGAAAUCCCCGGGCUCAACCUGGGAAUUGCAUUGGAGACUGCAAGGCUAGAAUCUGGCAGAGGGGGGUAGAAUUCCACGUGUAGCAGUGAAAUGCGUAGAUAUGUGGAGGAACACCGAUGGCGAAGGCAGCCCCCUGGGUCAAGAUUGACGCUCAUGCACGAAAGCGUGGGGAGCAAACAGGAUUAGAUACCCCAGUAGUCCCAUG